UUUAGGGGCAGUCUCAGAAGAUCCAAACAUUGUCUUAGAGUCGGAAUUUAUAAGCGAUCUUGCCAAUACUCAGGAGACAUACCAGAACCACACAGCAUUAAACAAUACAAUUGAUAACCGGGAGAAUCCUAGGAAGAACCGCUUGUCAUUGAAUAAAAAAAGAACUGACUCUGAAGCUAUCAGAUCAUCACAGCUGGUGAAUACGGCUCUGACACCAUCCGGUUCUGUUCAGACAGGAGUACACAGCAUAACCCGUGAUGAAGACGUAAUUUU